rfam:Beta vulgaris subsp. vulgaris Bvchr4_un.sca029.con0010.1, whole genome shotgun sequence.
GGGUGCGAUCAUACCAGCACUAAUGCACUGGAUCCCAUCACAACUCCACAGCUAAGCGUGCUUGGGCCUGAGUAAUACUAGGAUGGGUGACCUCCUAUGAAGUCCUCGUGUUGCACCCC